GAUGAACGCUGGCGGCGUGCCUAAUACAUGCAAGUCGAGCGAACAGACGUGGAGCUUGCUCCUCUGACGUUAGCGGCGGACGGGUGAGUAACACGUGGAUAACCUACCUAUAAGACUGGGAUAACUUCGGGAAACCGGAGCUAAUACCGGAUAAUAUAUUGAACCGCAUGGUUCAAUAGUGAAAGACGGUUUUGCUGUCACUUAUAGAUGGAUCCGCGCCGCAUUAGCUAGUUGGUAAGGUAACGGCUUACCAAGGCGACGAUGCGUAGCCGACCUGAGAGGGUGAUCAGCCACACUGGAACUGAGACACGGUCCAGACUCCUACGGGAGGCAGCAGUAGGGAAUCUUCCGCAAUGGGCGAAAGCCUGACGGAGCAACGCCGCGUGAGUGAUGAAGGUCUUCGGAUCGUAAAACUCUGUUAUUAGGGAAGAACAAAUGUGUAAGUAACUAUGCACGUCUUGACGGUACCUAAUCAGAAAGCCACGGCUAACUACGUG
rnacentral:rRNA from 1 species